GUCCGUUGGCUUUCAAAGACAGACUCUGGAAUCAGUGGACCAUCAAAUACUGAUGUUAGAACAGAAAUAAUUUCCUUCAUCAGAAAGAUGAAGCUUUGUGCAACACAUCAAGAUUUUAAGUCAACUGCUGCGCAAUUCCUCAAGAGGUUUGAAGAUUUCCCAGCUCUUUGCUCAUACUUCAAGGAUCACUGGCUGGAAAUAGGACACACAUGGUCUGACUUUGGACGGUGCUACAACCAUGCCGACUCCGAUACAAACAAUCUUGUUGAAAGAUUUUUCCAUCGCCUAAAAUAUCAGUUUUUGGGUGGCAUUAGGAACCGUAGACUGGAUGAUCU